AUACGGAGGAUCCAGGCGUUAUCCGGAUUUAUUGGGUUUAAAGGGAGCGUAGAUGGAUUUUUAAGUCAGUUGUGAAAGUUCGGGGCUCAACCCCGUAAUUGCAGUUGAUACUGGAUAUCUUGAGUACAGUAGAGGUGGGCGGAAUUCGUGGUGUAGCGGUGAAAUGCUUAGAUAUCACGAAGAACUCCAAUUGCGAAGGCAGCUCACUAGACUGGCACUGACACUGAUGCUCGAAAGUGUGGGUAUC
rnacentral:rRNA from 1 species